CAGGGUAUUUUAUAGGACUAUUUAAACACAAACAGACAGUUAAAGCCCUACUUCUGACUCACUGAGACUCUGCAGUGUUAAUAUUUGUAAACAGCUGGAACAAUUGGGCAUAGUAUAACUUCGCUGAUGCAGAUGAAAGGUUGUUUUUCCAGUGCUGUUAUUCAAUUUUCAGUUCUUUUUUAAGGAGGGGGCUUAUUUCCCCAGUUUAUCAUCAUGUUUUUAUUAGCAUCAUUUAAUAGCGAAAAAAGUUAUGUAAUAGUUUUUUUUUCUGCUCAGUAAUAAAACUGAAGGAAUGUAAUUAGUAAUGUAAAUGUUAUGGACAAAGAUCCAUUUGGGCUGCAAAUAUUUGUACAACAUGUAGGAUUACGAUUAUUUGUAUUAUGACCCAGACUGAACUGUAGCUUUGGAGCAACAAGGUUCUGGGUUUCGACUCUGUCCAGGGGUCUUUCUGCAUAGAGUUUGCAUGUUCUCCCUGUGCAUGCUUGCGUUCUCUCCUGGCACUCUGGCUUCCUCCCACAGUCCAAAAACAUGACUGUUAGGUUAAUUGGCUACUCCUCUUAAUUGCCCGUAGGUGUGAGUGUGUGCACGGCUGUGUGUCUUUGUGUUUUUUGUUUUGCCCUGAGACAGUCUGGUGAGCUGUGCAGGGUGUACCCCACGUCCUGCCCAUAGACUGCAGGAGAUUGGCACCAGUCCCACUGCAACCCUGACGAGGACUCAGGGAGAGAAGAUGGAUGGAUGUAUUAUGACCCAAGCUAGGGAGGAGAAUGAGAACAAACAUGGAAGAGGGUUUCCCCAUAUUGAAGAUGGUGGUGGAGGCAUCAUGCGGUGGGGAUACUUUUGACAGCAGAGAUGAUGAACCUGGUUGGAGUUGAUGGCUGGAGCUAAAUGCAAGCCUAGGAGAAAAAAAAAUAUUAGCAGUUGCAAAUACUUGAGGCCAGGGGAAAGAUGGACAUUUUAACAGGACAAGGACCCCAGGGCAAAUCCAUUGAGCCAAGUAUGUUGACCCAGCCGGAGCCCAGAUGUACUGUACAGCAAAUCCAACUGAAAUAUAUGCCAAGAUUUAAAAAUAUGUUUUCUCCAUACAAUCUGAUUGUAAGUUGCAAAGAUAGUUUGCGAAAAUUCUGGUGUCUAGAUGCACAAAUCUUGCAAAAACCUAAUCCAAAAUGACUGCAGUAAUAAUUCAAACAAAGGGAGGUUCUAAAAUUAUGUAUUCAGUUUGACUAAAUAAAAAUAUGCAUCACAGAUUUGUAAUUUAAUAAAACAAAAAACAAAAAUCAGUUACUUUGUUUUUAAAAUAAUAUAUUAUGUGACAGCUCAUUUUAUUACAUAUACCCCCAUUAAAAUAUAUGGAGAUUUGUAUUUGUAACUUCACAUAAUUGUAGAAUUACUAGA